rnacentral:misc_RNA from 1 species
GAUGAAGAACGCAGCGAAAUGCGAUAAGUAAUGUGAAUUGCAGAAUUCAGUGAAUCAUCGAAUCUUUGAACGCACAUUGCGCCCCUUGGUAUUCCGAGGGGCAUGCCUGUUCGAGCGUCAUUAUAACCCCUCAAGCUCAGCUUGGUGUUGGGGCCUGCUGCACUGGCAGCCCUUAAAAUCAGUGGCGGCGCCAUCUGGCUCUAAGCGUAGUAAUUCUUCUCGCUAUGGAGUCCUGGUGGAUGCUUGCCAUCAACCCCCAAUUUUUCUAUGGUUGACCUCGGAUCAGGUAAGGAUACCCGCUGAACUUAAGCAUAUCAAUAAGCGGAGGA